GCAAAGAAGAGUUUUUUAAGGAGGAUUUUGAAGAUCAGUGAAGUAACUUUGCUGCUGUUUGCAGAGAACCUUGCUGCAGCCUGAGCUAACAGCUGGGAGAAACCAUGGAAGUGCUUGAUUAAAAAUACCACAGUAGUGCCUCUUCCUGUAAAGAUGCAGACAGAAGCUUGAAUCUACGCAUUGUGACUCCUUAACUGUAAUGAAUUGUUCCCGCACUUCGUGCAACCUCUUUAGCGGGGCCCGGGGCGAUGUACAAUAUUGCUGCUGCUGUGCCACGAGUCUGGAUGUGGCUGACCCAGAGAGCCUUGCAGGAUACAAGAAUUCAGCAGUGGGACCUGCAGUCCCAGGCCUACUUGAUCUUGUCCAUUUGGCACUGCUGGAGGAAUAACAAGUUUCUUCCCGUCAUGCACCAUUCUGGGAUACAUCAUGACAGAGAAAUCUCAAAGCCCAGGUCAAUUAUAACAGAAGAUGUGUAGCACCUCUGCCCCCACAGCGUCUUCUGGGGAUCCACUUGGCAAAAUGAUAUAAAACUAUUUCCGAAGACUUCCCGUGAUCUGGCCCUACUUAGAACUAAGUCACCGG